rnacentral:lncRNA from 1 species
UGCAAAGGCGGCGUGUGGUACCGGCACUCGGUGGCUUCAGACUCGCUUUCAUCAGACAUCAGCCCCCUGCGGUGUGAGUGAGGACAGGAGACGCUGACGCAAAUGUCUUCCAGCAGAUGGGUGUUUGCCUCCAUCUUCAGGGUUCUCUGACGGAGGCUGCUGGAGCUGCCGUGGUGGAUAGAGCCAGCUCCUGCAAAAGGGUCCAGCCCUCCUGGAUGCGUCGAUGUGAGUUUUUUUUUUAAAAGGCUGAUGGACUCAAAGAGACUUGCUUAUCUUUUGACAUCUCCAGCUUGUCCCUAGUUUGGGCGUUAAGGCCAUGUGACAGAGCCAGUGCUGUGCUCCAAGGGGAAUUUGCUGAGAAGAUGCUGGUGACGGUGGACGGAGAGUGGAAGUCGGUAUCACUGAUUGGGGCCCUCUGGAGGGGCCGACAGGGAAGUGGGAUCUCAGGCCCUUUCUCUGCACAGCAGGGUAACGGGUGAGUCGGCCCUCGUGGCAGGGCGGUCCCGAGGGGGUGGAGCGGUGCUGGCUCACGCUCGUGGGCACCAGCGUCCUGGGCUGCUGUGGCCUAGUGUAGGCCCCCCACAGUGUCACUCACACUGAUUGGUUGUGACAGGAGGGAGCUCAGCCCCAGAAAGUGGUAAUGAGUGCAGUCAGCGGGCAAUUUGCAUCGAUUUCAGUGACUGGGGAGGCGAGCUGUAAGGUCUGAAGCCAGCCACGUGGGACGGGAAGGCAGUCGCCGUAUGGGGGGCUAAUGUGUGGCUGUGGGUGGGGGGCGGCGAGGCGGACAGGGGCAGCAGGCAGGGUGGCCACGGUGGUUCAGGGGCCAUGGUCCCAACCUCCCCAGCCCUGGCCCCUGCCCUGGUCACCUGGUAGUGGGCCCAGCAGGCCUCCCAGAUCCGCAGCGCUUCGGCCUCGGGGAACUCCCGCUUGAAGCACAGAAGGAGCCAGCGGUGGCAGAAGAGCAUCUGCAGGCCGUCCUCGCCCAGCGAGACCAGGUGCUGGUAGAAGCGCACGUGCGUCAGCCGCAGCAGCUCGCGCAGAGCUGUUUUAGGGCAGGAAGGGGACGUAUCUGAGCCCCAGGAUGCUCGAUUCCUGCCAUUAAGGUCAUCUCCCAAUGAUGUGGGACAAGAUCGGGGCUAUUUCUGGCAGCACUCGGGCCCAGGCCGCUGACUUCAUCAAUGCCGCUGGAAAAUCAAUCUCCAGCAUUCAGUGAGUCACCCAGCCAUGCGCUGCCAUGAGCCGUCAGAGGCGAAUGGCGUUGGACACUGUAACUGCCUCCCCAAGCAAUGUGGACACCCGACGUCACACACACCCGUUGAUGCAGAGUGAGCAGGCUUGGCUGGGUUCAGCCCCCCGGCCCAGGUGGAGUUAGAUCACAGCUGGGGGGAUCCUGGGGCAGAGCUCGGGGCCACAUGCCCCCUUCCCACACAGGUGGCCCAUUGUUCCCACGGGAGACUGCGCUGAAGCUGUGCGGCCAGCCCUCCGCCCUGUGGCCUACGGCCAGGUCAAGCCCACUCGUGUGGCUGACCCCCUUGCAGAUGCUCCACUCCCGCCCCCUGUGCAGGUGCCUGCACCUCCCUGCUUGGGCUCCUUUGCCUUCAAAUCCUCUCUGUUGGCAUCAGCUCUCCCAGCCUGUCAUCAGCGACCCACUAACAGUCAGUCUAUAGCAGCGGUCCCCAACCUUUUUGGCACUAGGGACCCGUUUCCUGGAAGACAAUUUUUCCACGGACAAGGUAGUGCGAAUGGUUUCAGGUUGAAACUGUUCCCCCUCACAUCAUCAGGCAUUAGAUUCUCAUAAGCAGUACACAACCUAGACCCCUCACAUGCUCAGUUCACAGUAGGGUUCUCGCGUUCGAGCUUCUGUGAGAAUCUAAUGCAGCCGCUGAUCUGACGGCAGGUGGAGCUCAGGCGGGAAUGCUCGCUGGCCCGUCCACCGCUCACCUCCUGCGGUGCGGCCAGUUCCUAACAGGCCAUGGACCAGUACCAGUCCUGGGCCUGGGAGUGGGGAUCCCAUUCUAUGAGACACACUCCGUGGCCUGGGGCUGGGGAACCCCGUUCUACAAGUCACACUCUGUGUCCUGGGGUGGGGACCCCAUUCUACAAGUCACACUCUGUGUCCUGGGGUGGGGACCCCAUUCUGAGACACGCUCUGUGUCCUGGGGGUGGGGACCCCCGUUCUAUGAGACACACUCUGUGGCCCUGGCCUUCAAGGCCCUCCAUCAGCUCCACCCUCACUACUUGUGACGGGUCUGGUCCAGGAAGACCAGGUCACUCAGUCCCACCACUGGGACUGCUCUGCUCAGCCCAGCCUUAGCGACACUCAGGGCCAGACCCCACACACCCUGGAGCUGUCCCCGGUGCAGGAGCCCUCUUGUCCUUAUCACGGGCACCUCCCACAGUGCUCCCCGACACCCAGCGUCCUCUGCUCACAAUGCCAGCUUCCUGGCCCAGCCAGGAGGGUGAAUGUCUGGUGACUGCACCCGGCAGGCACUUGGUUGACAUGGGUGAUGUGUGCUGAGAACAGUGAGCAGGUGCCCUGGCUCAGCCCUGGUUCGGUCCCACACGCUGGCCCUCCGGCGCUGCCUUACCCAGCUGGGCUCAGCCCCACCACCGACAUUCAGUGCUUCCUGGUCUACAUAGGGCUGGUCCUUUUGAGGAGGCCUUGACGGGAGAGGUGUCAGCAGGGCACCCCAGGGGAGGGGUGGGGUGUGAGGACUGCCCCAGAGACCUCAGGGGGUUUCAGGAGCCCCUCCUCUUCCUGUCUGCACUCAGAAGCCCUGGCUGUGUUGACUCCUGCAGGGAGCAGCUUAGACACACCUGAGGACCCAUUUUCUAAGGCUCAGAGGGGGCUGGGUGUGAUGGUGCCACGUCUUCCUUGCCAGCCAGGGAGCUUGGGCCAGGUUGUCACGUGCAGGGGUGGAAGGCCACCAGAGCGGCCCACACAACGCGGCCUCUGGACCUGCAGGGAGUCAGAGGGCCAUCCCCGGAGGCCGAGAUAGGCUAAGCCGCCCAUAUCCCACGGGCAAGUCCUAUCCUGGCGUUCCCACUGCCCACUGACCUACAGCAGCCAAGCCACGCAUCACCACGGCAACCCCGGCUACAACGGGAGAGGCAACACGGGCCCUCACAUGCCCUUGGACGCACCCAUCCCCCUGAGCCUCACCAGUUGUUUCUCCAUGUCCUCGUCCCGGGGUGAGCUGACGAAGAUCGUGUUCUGCAUCAAACCCACAAAGCACCAGAAGGUGUCUGACUCAUCCAGGACCUCGGCCAAGAUGGGCGCCACCAGCCGCAGCGCCUCCCGCUCCUCCGACGUGGAC